AACGAACGCUGGCGGCAUGCCCAACACAUGCAAGUCGAACGAGACCUCCGGGUCUAGUGGCGCACGGGUGCGUAACGCGUGGGAACCUGCCCUUAGGUUCGGAAUAACUCCCCGAAAGGGGUGCUAAUACCGGAUAAUUUCUUCGGACCAAAGAUUUUUCGCCUUUGGAUGGGCCGGCGUUGGAUUAGCUAGUUGGUAGGGUAAAAGCCUACCAAGGCGACGAUCCAUAGCUGGUCUGAGAGGAUGAUCAGCCACACUGGGACUGAGACACGGCCCAGACUCCUACGGGAGGCAGCAGUGGGGAAUAUUGGACAAUGGGCGAAAGCCUGAUCCAGCAAUGCCGCGUGAGUGAUGAAGGCCUUAGGGUUGUAAAGCUCUUUUACCCGGGAUGAUAAUGACAGUACCGGGAGAAUAAGCGCCGGCUAACUCCGUG
rnacentral:rRNA from 1 species